rnacentral:rRNA from 1 species
UACGGAAGCAGCAGUGGGGAAUAUUGCACAAUGGGCGCAAGCCUGAUGCAGCCAUGCCGCGUGUAUGAAGAAGGCCUUCGGGUUGUAAAGUACUUUCAGCGGGGAGGAAGGCGAUGCGGUUAAUAACCGCGUCGAUUGACGUUACCCGCAGAAGAAGCACCGGCUAACUCCGUGCCAGCAGCCGCGGUAAUACGGAGGGUGCAAGCGUUAAUCGGAAUUACUGGGCGUAAAGCGCACGCAGGCGGUCUGUUAAGUCAGAUGUGAAAUCCCCGGGCUUAACCUGGGAACUGCAUUUUGAACUGGCAGGCUUGAGUCUUGUAGAGGGGGUGAAUUCCAGGUGUAGCGGUGAAUGCGUAGAGAUCUGGAGGAAUACCGGUGGCGAAGGCGGCCCCUGGGACAAAGACUGACGCUCAGGUGCGAAGCGUGGGGAGCAAACGAGGAUAGAUACC